GGCCGGCGAGAGCACGAGGCGCACCUCGACGUCGCCGAAGCCGGCGUGGGUGAGGGCCAGCUCGACAUCGUCGCGGAUCGCGUCCAUGGCCGGGCA
rnacentral:tRNA from 1 species